UUUAUCUGGUUGCCAAAUUUAGCAUACAAGGAAAAAGAGACCGACAGAAGACUCGGUGGAAGGCUGUGAUUUUCAGAAAAUUCUAGAGCCGUGAGCAAGUUGCCAACUUUUCCCAAAGCGUCGUGGCAAGACCGUAGUUUUCUUGAAAAGCUCGAACAAUAAGGUCACUUGGGCAGAGGGCCAAAGGGGAGAAGUUAGACGCGUUCCUAAAAAGUUCAAGGGCAAAAUCCUGAAGGAAGAGAGAAGUUAUAUGGAUAACAAAUCACCGAGCAAGAAGGCCACUAAGGAGAUUGCACUUGCAAACGGUGAUGGGGAUGACAAGUUUCGAUCUGAACUGAUUUCAAUCUCAUACGCUGAAUCUCCUGAUGUCAAAAUCUGAUCAAUUUCUAUGGGAGCCUGAGCCACAAAUGUGCUGGUUUAUGUUUAACGUGUGGCUAUAAGUUUGGUGUAUGAUUAAAUUUUCAGCGUGUUUAUUUUAUGGGGUAUGUUGGUUAUGUGGUACUAGCUGUUGUGAAUCUCGUUGUAAAUACUUUGGCCAAGGUAUGCUUUGGUUCAUGUAUGAUAUAAUGAGUUCAAUAUUUGACUCGUCUCACUUUCAUGAUGGUUUACGCCACAUUCAGAAUCAGAAAGAACGCUUGGGGCAAUACAAAUCCGAGCUGGGAUACAUUAAUACAUAUCAUAAGUCGAUUUCUUGUCCGAGGCAACUUAUGGCGGGCGGGGGGGCAAGAAUUUAUUGAACUGGCAGCAGCUAACAAAUGCGAAGCUUCUCCGACGGGAUGACAAGUUAUAAGCAAUAUAUGUUUUAUUAAUUCUUCGGUCACAUUAAUUUGGCCAAUACACUAGCUUGACUCGUCAGUCUCUUCAUAGGCUCUAGUCUCAAACGAACCAACCAAGUGAAGUAGCCGAGGUAGAACCCACAGGGACGGGAGGCGACCUGUUCAUCGGAUGUGAGAUUUUACGCUGCUUCUUUUGACAUGGGGUUGCUAGUCAAAUUAGCUUACGCAUGCCAUGCAAGAUAAAUAUAUCACGUUUCAAUGUUGUUUUCUUUCUUCGCUCAAAG